CACGGGGGUUGCGAGCGUUGUCCGGAAUUACUAGGCGUAAAGGGCAGGCGGAUCCAUAAGUUUAUCGUUUAAGGCGUCGGCUUAACCGGCGUAGGGCGGUAGAUACUGUGGAUCUGGAAUGCGGUUGGGGAAGACAGAAUUCCUGGUGUAGCGGUGGAAUGCGCAGAGAUCAGGAGGAAUACCGAAGGCGAAGGCAGUCUUCCAAGCCGUUAUUGACGCUCAACUGCGAAGGUGUGGGUAUCAAACAGGAUUAGAUACCCUGGUAGUCCCUGAGCGGG
rnacentral:rRNA from 1 species